rnacentral:rRNA from 1 species
CUCCUACGGGAGGCAGCAGUGGGGAAUUUUGGACAAUGGGGGCAACCCUGAUCCAGCCAUGCCGCGUGCGGGAAGAAGGCCUUCGGGUUGUAAACCGCUUUUGUCAGGGACGAAAAGCUCCGGAGUAAUAUGCCGGAGUGCUGACGGUACCUGAAGAAUAAGCACCGGCUAACUACGUGCCAGCAGCCGCGGUAAUACGUAGGGUGCGAGCGUUAAUCGGAAUUACUGGGCGUAAAGCGUGCGCAGGCGGUUGGGUAAGACAGAUGUGAAAUCCCCGGGCUUAACCUGGGAACUGCAUUUGUGACUGUCCGACUGGAGUACGUCAGAGGGGGGUGGAAUUCCACGUGUAGCAGUGAAAUGCGUAGAUAUGUGGAAGAACACCGAUGGCGAAGGCAGCCCCCUUGGGACGCAACUGACGCUCAUGCACGAAAGCGUGGGGAGCAAACAGGAUUAGAUACCCUGGUAGUCCACGCCCUAAACGAUGUCUGCUGGUUGUUGGGAGUUNAAUUCUCAGUAACGAAGCCAACGCG